rnacentral:lncRNA from 1 species
UGUUAUGAUAUACGAUUUUCUUGUUAAUUUUAGUCCAAUUAACUCACCCUACAACUGGUAAAAUUGUUUAUUGCAAUUUUUGGUUUAUAUAAGUAAAAAUUUAAAGAUCUAUGCUUUGGUUUAAUUCAUACAUUUUUUUACAAGUCAUUUCUUCAACGACUGUGAUUAGUAAAUUUAAAAGCUAUUAUUUUUUUAACUUGUGAAAGAUUUAUUAUUAUUUAUUAUCAUUUUUUUUUCGGUAAAGUUCUUUUUGUUUUUAGUUUCAUCUACAUCUGAUACAGUUGUUUCAUCUACAUCCUCCACAGUUGUUUCAUCAACAUCUGCUACGUUCCUGCAGCACAAUUUUUUCAUGAGUAAACAUAUGAGGCCUAUCUAAAGUACCAUAGCCAGCAUCCUUGGCCCAAAAGUAAUAAAUCCUAUUUGCGUUCGGUCUGGUUUGGUAGUGAAGACGACCAUUCAUUUAGAUGGCUUGAUCAUCCUCCAAUCAGGGGUGCUAGCAAUUAUACACCAUUAGUUUCUAUUUUUCCAAGAUGUGUUAAAUCUAACCCACAGCCCAUCACCAACUUUAUAAAUAGACCUGUAACGUUCGCUAGUUUUGUGGAAUAAAAUAAUAACAACUACCUUUUGAUACCAAGUUAUUUAUUUUUGAAUAAGAAUUGGCAAAGUUUUAACAAUGAAAAAAAAGAUUUUAUUGACCACAGUUUUAUCUAGAAAUCCAUAAAUCGAAAAUAUGCUACUAAAAACGUGCCCCAAGAAGACCUAACGGUCUUGUCACAGAGCAUCGCUUAUGUAUCGCAU